rnacentral:rRNA from 1 species
GGCGAGUGGCGGACGGGUGAGGAAUGCAUCGGAAUCUACUCUUUCGUGGGGGAUAACGUAGGGAAACUUACGCUAAUACCGCAUACGACCUACGGGUGAAAGCCGGGGACCUUCGGGCCUGGCGCGAAAGAAUGAGCCGAUGCCCGAUUAGCUAGUUGGCGGGGUAAGAGCCCACCAAGGCGACGAUCGGUAGCUGGUCUGAGAGGAUGAUCAGCCACACUGGAACUGAGACACGGUCCAGACUCCUACGGGAGGCAGCAGUGGGGAAUAUUGGACAAUGGGCGCAAGCCUGAUCCAGCCAUACCGCGUGGGUGAAGAAGGCCUUCGGGUUGUAAAGCCCUUUUGUUGGGAAAGAAAAGCAGUCGGUUAAUACCCGAUUGUUCUGACGGUACCCAAAGAAUAAGCACCGGCUAACUUCGUGCCAGCAGCCGCGGUAAUACGAAGGGUGCAAGCGUUACUCGGAAUUACUGGGCGUAAAGCGUGCGUAGGUGGUUGAUUAAGUCUGUCGUGAAAGCCCUGGGCUCAACCUGGGAAUUGCGAUGGAAACUGGUUGACUAGAGUGUGGCAGA